rnacentral:rRNA from 1 species
CGCGGCCUAUCAGCUUGUUGGUGAGGUAACGGCUCACCAAGGCGACGACGGGUAGCCGGCCUGAGAGGGCGACCGGCCACACUGGGACUGAGACACGGCCCAGACUCCUACGGGAGGCAGCAGUGGGGAAUAUUGCACAAUGGGCGAAAGCCUGAUGCAGCGACGCCGCGUGAGGGACGAAGGCCUUCGGGUUGUAAACCUCUUUCAGCAGGGAAGAAGCGAAAGUGACGGUACCUGCAGAAGAAGCACCGGCUAACUACGUGCCAGCAGCCGCGGUAAUACGUAGGGUGCAAGCGUUGUCCGGAAUUAUUGGGCGUAAAGAGCUCGUAGGCGGUUUGUCGCGUCUGCUGUGAAAACUCGGGGCUUAACCCCGGGCCUGCAGUGGGUACGGGCAGACUAGAGUGCGGUAGGGGAGACUGGAAUUCCUGGUGUAGCGGUGAAAUGCGCAGAUAUCAGGAGGAACACCGGUGGCGAAGGCGGGUCUCUGGGCCGUAACUGACGCUGAGGAGCGAAAGCAUGGGUAGCGAACAGGAUUAGAUACCCUGGUAGUCCAUGCCGUAAACGUUGGGCGCUAGGUGUGGGGCUCAUUCCACGAGUUCCGUGCCGCAGCAAACGCAUUAAGCGCCCCGCCUGGGGAGUACGG